rnacentral:rRNA from 1 species
UACGUAGGGGGCUAGCGUUGUCCGGAAUCAUUGGGCGUAAAGAGCUCGUAGGCGGUUUGUCGCGUCUGCUGUGAAAACUGGGGGCUCAACCCCCAGCCUGCAGUGGGUACGGGCAGACUAGAGUGCGGUAGGGGAGAUUGGAAUUCCUGGUGUAGCGGUGGAAUGCGCAGAUAUCAGGAGGAACACCGAUGGCGAAGGCAGAUCUCUGGGCCGUAACUGACGCUGAGGAGCGAAAGCAUGGGGAGCGAACAGG